GCAUCAAUAUAAUUGGUUCUUAGAAUUUCUUCUAGUAACGCUGUACCCUAUAAUAUUAGAUUUAUAUCGUGAAAUAUAUUGAGAAUUCUUGAAAAUAGCGAAUGAGCAUUUGGCUUACACGCUGCGCGCCAUAAGAAUUUUCGUUGUUCGCGAGCGGUAAUAUUAUAGAAGCUUAACUGAGGCUCGUCGAUUACGAUAACAUUUGGAAUACCUCAUUAUCGUGAUAAAAAAUGCGGACGUGCCGUGCCGACAAAAGCUGUCGCGAAGGAGAAGGGGAGGCGUAAAAGUCGGACUCGUCACCCCUCUUCGGGUCAAUUACAGCACGAGACAGACCUCCCGUCCGGGGGGAUCAUUAUCGCGAAAUUGUGCGUAUCGUGCACCACUACUGAUGCAGCGUACCCUGUGCAAGCGCGGAAUUGGAUUUCGAAAUGUGAAAAUACGAGUCCGCGGGGGGGAUGGGGCGAUGGGGGAUGGACGGAUGAGACUCGAGGGAGACGAACGGUAGAUUCACGUGGUGAGACAUCUGUCGGACAACUUAACAACCGCCCGUCUCUCACUCCGAUCCCGCUAUAUAUCCAUCCAUAUAAAUUGUAUAUGUAUAGUAUAACGCGCUGCAGGGCGAUACAUUCCUGAGACGCCCCGUCGUUUCUUUUCGCAGUUACAUACCUCUCGCCUUUUUCCCCCGUUUAACAAACAGACAGCACAAUGCGAGAACUGCGGGGCUAGUCACGUGCUAGUCAUGUUCUCAUAGUCAUCAACGUAUAACUGUUAUAUCAGCACGCAGAGAACGAUUACUACAUUUUUCUCGCAUAAUUAAUUGACAUUAAUUGACGCAGGGUGUGACAUAUAUUUUUUUCUUAUUUUAAUUGUAUCGAUAGUAGUAAUUUUUCUUCUUUUUUUUUUUUUUGUUUGCAACAGUUCGAGAAAACGAGAUACGCUCGAUAUAGCGAGCGAAAUUUUGUGGGGGAAGCACGCGUGCGCACGCAAUUUUGCACACGUGUGUAUGUAAUUGCAGAUGUGUCCAACAUAUUAUUUGUAUGGACGGUGCAACGGACUGUCUCUGUGUGGACACACCGUGCGUCCACACGAUUUCACUCGGUGCUCUAUUUAGCGCUUGUUAGCGCCGACAAUACCACGCAGCUGAUCCCCUUAACGAGGCCGAGGUUCGUAUUGUGCGAGGGUGUAAAGCUCCGCGCGUGGCCUGUGUGCGCAGCAUAAGCAUGCGUCGGAGACGCGGACAAGCGAGAGCAAACCGUUAACCCAUUAUCUUCUUCAGGAAAAACUGCAAAUAAAUUCAGAAGAUGGUAUUAUAAUUAUCCAGUCGUUAUUUGCCUUUGUCUCAACAUUGACGUGCUUGUGCGAACGACUCAAAAUUUACAUUAUUAGACGAGAUCAUCGACUUAAAUUAUGUAUAAUCGUAUCUUCCACAUAACACACAAAACACGGAAAAGGGAUGACAUAUUGUGAAAUAUAAAGCUAUUUUAUAGCAAAUGUUGUACAACAGGUCGAAUAAUCCAACAUCAAGAGAAAAAAAUCAUCUUAUUUUGCAUUCCUGAUCCUGCUGUGCUUUGAAUUAUGAAGGAAGUGUCCAGUAAGUCUCCAGCUCGUAAAGACAUCAAGCAAACAGUUAUGCCCAUCCAAUGUGUUAAUGCGCAAUUUCGAGAUACAUGUCUCUCUCUUAUUGGAAUACAAAAUCCUUCAACGUUCAAAAUUAAUGUCUCUUAGCCCCUGCUGAGAAAUUGAAAGAAAAUCAGAAAGCCGGUUACCCAACAGUAGUCAAAAUGAGCGACAUAAUAUCGAAGAUACACUCUCAGUCAUGUGUCGUGUGGUGCUUCCAAACAUUUUAGAAAAAUACCUCGAAUUUGGAGAUGCUGCGUGAUACAUGAUUAAAAAUAACAUAAAAUGUGAAACAAUCUUUAUAUAUAAAAAUAUAAAAAUAAUUUUAUAUUGCGAGCAAUUUUGGAUUAUUCUACACACGCGCUUCAUUUGUCUCUCAAACAUUAUAUAUUAAUGCGGACAACCAGCUUAUAGCACCCAUAUAUAACACCCAUACAGUGCUUUGUAACGAAAAAUUGUCAAAAAAACAGAUGAAGUCCUGCUGUGAACAAAAAGCAUUUUUUUCAAAAGGUUUACGCAAUCUUUAGCCUGAACGAUCACAAGCAUCUUAAGCAUAAUGGAGUAGUAAAGGACUUAUUAUAGCCACAAUGGAUUUCGGUGCCACGAAAUGAUCAGCGGCCACCAUGGAUCCUCUAGCCUACUGGUAUUAAUCAACGAAGCAUCAAAGAGCACUUUCCACCAAAACGGUUUGUUUAUCGUCGGCUUGGCGGUAGGCCCGUCGGUCUGAUCGAGUUCGCUCUUUCUCCGUCAGAAAUCGUUCAGAUACCACCAGUAUGCGAUGCUUCCAAGAAUCUCUGAUGUUUCUAAUCGACCCACCAACUGACAAGCACCAGUUCUUUUUUUUACGAGUACGCUAGGAAGGGUAUGCACUGUGAUACGUGAGGCGAACUAGAACACUUUUUGCGACUAGAAAAUGUGGAUCAACUUGCUAAUAGAAUGCUAUAACUCCAUCUCCAAGUCGUGCGCCUGUAGGAACAAAUUUCAAAUCAGCAAACUAAAUUGCUUUAACUCGGAACUGAUAUCAAAUGCGAAUCUUUGUUCAAGAAAAAAUGGGAAGUUAGCUUCAAAGAAUCCUAUACAAUGACUUGGAAGAAAUUCGAGUGAAAUUACAUAAUAAUCUGCGAUGUUAAUAUUAAAAGAACUUGGAGCGUAUUCAUAAAUUUCUGUAACAAAAAGAAACUUACGGAAAUAAUAUAUAGGUUGAAUUGUAGUCCGUUCGGAAACAAGGGCAACCAUAUGAUUCAUUUACCUUCUUUAUAGUGAUAGUGGAAGAGGAAAAGAAGUUAUAAGUUAUAUAUAUAAGUUUACCGGGACAGCGAAUGGAAAGGGAUGGUCAGGUUGAAAAACCAGGAUAUGAUCAUUGGGGCUGAGGGCUGACACAGUUGAAAGUAAAACGUCUAUAUCUAUUAAAUAAAACAUUAUUAAAUAAAACUUGGAAGUUUAUAGUAAAUUUUGAGAGCGGAUUUCUCUCUGGAAAUUGAUAAUUAAAAGAUUCUAGGGAGUCAUGGUAUUAUUAAAAUAAUACUGGCGAGGACGAAGGAAGAAGCAAGAUGGGGCAGGAUCUCGCGGGAUGGACAGUGAUACCGAGGGGAGGUGUAAAAGGAAAUUCUAUUUUUAUCGAGUCGUUAUUAAUAAGAUCUUUUUUCGCUUGUUCUGCAAGCUCCCCGGUUCCACCGACGUUUUGCAGCUCUUCUCAAUAACCGUUUCGCGGUACCGCGAAUGCAAGAAUCCACUACAAGUUGAACGGUUCAGAACCGACUUUGCGUCGUGAAGAAAAAUCAAUUAAAUAGCCAAACCCUCAAGAGAUAAGACAUUAGUCGGUCGUGUUACAAAAUCUUUAAUUCGCGAAACGUCACAGCUUUACUAUUGGUAUUCGGCCGAACUCAAUAUAACGAAAAGCUAUAUAGAUUGUACUCCUACAUUAAGGCGGGCAAGUCAUGUAAAUCGAAAUAUUUUAGCAAUUUUUUUUUCUUGCUUAAAAUUUAUAGGAAAUUUUCCGUAG